rnacentral:ribozyme from 15 species
UCUUUCGAAACAUGGUGCAAAAGAAAAUGCUGGAAAAAAGAGAAAGGAGAGAAAGAGAUGCAAAGAGAGAGAUGUUUUUUUGGAAUUUGUGUGUUUCUUGG